rnacentral:piRNA from 1 species
UAUAACUCAAGAACCUUAAGAAACUCUUCCUG